rnacentral:rRNA from 1 species
GAUGAACGCUGGCGGCGUGCCUAAUACAUGCAAGUCGAGCGAACAGACGAGGAGCUUGCUCCUUUGACGUUAGCGGCGGACGGGUGAGUAACACGUAGGUAACCUACCUAUAAGACUGGGAUAACUUCGGGAAACCGGAGCUAAUACCGGAUAAUAUUUCGAACCGCAUGGUUCGAUAGUGAAAGAUGGCUUUGCUAUCACUUAUAGAUGGACCUGCGCCGUAUUAGCUAGUUGGUAAGGUAACGGCUUACCAAGGCAACGAUACGUAGCCGACCUGAGAGGGUGAUCGGCCACACUGGAACUGAGACACGGUCCAGACUCCUACGGGAGGCAGCAGUAGGGAAUCUUCCGCAAUGGGCGAAAGCCUGACGGAGCAACGCCGCGUGAGUGAUGAAGGUCUUCGGAUCGUAAAACGCUGUUAUUAGGGAAGAACAAACGUGUAAGUAACUGUGCACGUCUUGACGGUACCGAAUCAGAAAGCCACGGCUAACUACGU